rnacentral:rRNA from 1 species
UACGUAGGGUGCAAGCGUUAUCCGGAUUUACUGGGUUUAAAGGGUGCGCAGGCGGUUAUGUAAGUCAGUGGUGAAAUCUCCGGGCUUAACCCGGAAACUGCCGUUGAUACUAUAUAUCUUGAAUGCUGUGGAGGUAAGCAGAAUAUGUCAUGUAGCGGUGAAAUGCUUAGAUAUGACAUAGAAUACCUAUUGCGAAGGCAGCUUACUACGCAGAUAUUGACGCUCAUGCACGAAAGCGUGGGGAUCAAACAGG